rnacentral:rRNA from 1 species
AUGAACGCUGGCGGCGUGCCUAAUACAUGCAAGUCGAGCGAACAGACGAGGAGCUUGCUCCUCUGACGUUAGCGGCGGACGGGUGAGUAACACGUGGAUAACCUACCUAUAAGACUGGGAUAACUUCGGGAAACCGGAGCUAAUACCGGAUAAUAUAUUGAACCGCAUGGUUCAAUAGUGAAAGACGGUUUUGCUGUCACUUAUAGAUGGAUCCGCGCCGCAUUAGCUAGUUGGUAAGGUAACGGCUUACCAAGGCAACGAUGCGUAGCCGACCUGAGAGGGUGAUCGGCCACACUGGAACUGAGACACGGUCCAGACUCCUACGGGAGGCAGCAGUAGGGAAUCUUCCGCAAUGGGCGAAAGCCUGACGGAGCAACGCCGCGUGAGUGAUGAAGGUCUUCGGAUCGUAAAACUCUGUUAGUAGGGAAGAACAAAUGUGUAAGUAACUAUGCACGUCUUGACGGUACCUAAUCAGAAAGCCACGGCUAACUACGUG